rnacentral:misc_RNA from 1 species
AACGCACAUUGCACUCUCUGGUAUUCCGGAGAGUAUGCUUGUUUGAGUAUCUGUAAACAUCUCAAAUCUCUCGACUUUCGAGUUUGAGAGAAUUGGACUUGAGCAAUCCCAACUCCUUCGUCAGAAAGAGGAGGAUUGCUUGAAAUGCAGGUGCAGCUGGGCAUUCUUCUGAGCUAAAAGCAUAUUUAUUUAGUCCCGUCAAACGGAUUAUUAUUCUUGCUUCAGCUUACAUAAAGGUUGAAUGACUACCGAGGCUGAUUGCAGGUAAACUCGUUCCGUUAAAAAGAACUUGUGAACUCGAUCUCAAAUCAAGUAAGACUACCCGCUGAACUUAA